rnacentral:rRNA from 1 species
GAAUUCAACUCCUACGGGAGGCAGCAGUGGGGAAUUUUGGACAAUGGGCGCAAGCCUGAUCCAGCAAUGCCGCGUGAGUGAAGAAGGCCUUCGGGUUGUAAAGCUCUUUUGUCAGGGAAGAAACGGUAGAGGCUAAUAUCCUUUGCUAAUGACGGUACCUGAAGAAUAAGCACCGGCUAACUACGUGCCAGCAGCCGCGGUAAUACGUAGGGUGCAAGCGUUAAUCGGAAUUACUGGGCGUAACGCGUGCGCAGGCGGUUUUGUAAGUCUGUCGUGAAAUCCCCGGGCUCAACCUGGGAAUUGCGGUGGAGACUGCAAGGCUAGAAUCUGGCAGAGGGGGGUAGAAUUCCACGUGUAGCAGUGAAAUGCGUAGAGAUGUGGUGGAACACCGAUGGCGAAGGCAGCCCCCUGGGUCAAGAUUGACGCUCAGGCACGAAAGCGUGGGGAGCAAGCAGGAUUAGAUACCCUAGUAGUCCAGGCGUU